AGUGAACGCUGGCGGUAGGCCUAACACAUGCAAGUCGAACGGCAGCACAGUAAGAGCUUGCUCUUACGGGUGGCGAGUGGCGGACGGGUGAGGAAUACAUCGGAAUCUACUUUUUCGUGGGGGAUAACGUAGGGAAACUUACGCUAAUACCGCAUACGACCUACGGGUGAAAGCAGGGGAUCUUCGGACCUUGCGCGAUUGAAUGAGCCGAUGUCGGAUUAGCUAGUUGGCGGGGUAAAGGCCCACCAAGGCAACGAUCCGUAGCUGGUCUGAGAGGAUGAUCAGCCACACUGGAACUGAGACACGGUCCAGACUCCUACGGGAGGCAGCAGUGGGGAAUAUUGGACAAUGGGCGCAAGCCUGAUGCAGCCAUACCGCGUGAGUGAAGAAGGCCUUCGGGUUGUAAAGCCCUUUUGUUGGGAAAGAACAGCAGCAGAUUAAUACGCCGCUGUUCUGACGGUACCUAAAGAAUAAGCACCGGCUAACUUCGUG
rnacentral:rRNA from 1 species